GACGAACGCUGGCGGCGUGCUUAACACAUGCAAGUCGAACGGCAAGGCCCUGCUUUUGUGGGGUGCUCGAGUGGCGAACGGGUGAGUAACACGUGAGUAACCUGCCCUUGACUUUGGGAUAACUUCAGGAAACUGGGGCUACUACCGUAUCGGAGCCCCUGUUCCGGUGUGGGCGUUGGAACGUCUCGGCGGUUGGGGAUGGAUUAGCGGCUUAUCAGUUUGUUGGUUGGGGAGGGGCUUACCAAGGAUUUGACGGGUAGCCGGCAUGAGAGGGUGACCGGCCACCUGAGGACUGAGAGACGGCCCAGGCGCGUACGGGAGGCAGCAGUGGGGAGUAUUGCACAGUGGGCGGGAGCCUGAUGCAGCAACGCCGCGGGCGGGAUGACGGCCUUCGGGGUGUAAACCGCUUUCGCCUGUGACGAAGCGGGAGUGACGGUAAUGGGUAAAGAAGCACCGGCUAACUACGUG
rnacentral:rRNA from 1 species